UCCCCCGUGAGGGGGCAGUCUCGCCUGACAUAGAAAACAGGCAACGAGGGUUGCGUUCGUUACCCCACUGAAGGGAACAACUCAAGCCACGAACUGACGACGACCAUGCAUCACCUGCCCAGCCGUCUUGCGAAAGCCCAAGUUUCCAAGGGCGGUCGUCUGGGUUUCAAAUCCUGGUGAGGUUCUUCGUUUGCCAUCGAAUUGAGCCGCAUCAUCCACCGCUUGUGCAAGUCCCCGUCUAUUCCUUUGAGUUUUAAUCUUGCGAUCGUACUACCCAGGCGCCUAACUUAACGCGUUAGCUUCGCCUCACAGAGGGUCGAUACUCCGUAAAGCCAGUUAGGAUCGUUUAGGGCGUGGACUA
rnacentral:misc_RNA from 1 species